CCUACGGGUGGCAGCAGUGGGGAAUAGUGCACAAUGGGGGAAACCCUGAUGCAGCGACGCCGCGUGAGUGAAGAAGGAUUUCGGGAUGUAAAGCUCUAUCAGCAGGGAAGAAAAUGACGGUACGUGACUAAGAAGCCCCGGCUAACUACGUGCCAGCAGCCGCGGGAAUACGUAGGGGGCAAGCGUUAUCCGGAUGUACGGGGUGGAAAGGGAGCGUAGACGGCCAGACAAGUCAGAAGUGAAAACCCGCGGCUCAACUGCGGGAGUGCUUUUGAAACUUUUUGGGUGGAGUGCAGGAGAGGUGAGUGCAAUUCCUAGUGUAGCGGUGAAAUGCGUAGAUAUUAGGAGGAACACCAGUGGCGAAGGCGGCUUACUGGACUGUACCUGCCGUUGAGGCUC
rnacentral:rRNA from 1 species